GAUGAACGCUGGCGGCAGGCCUAACACAUGCAAGUCGAGCGGUUGAGGUAGCUUGCUACCGAAGCAGCGGCGAACGGGUGAGUAAUGCAUGGGAAUCUGCCUGGUAGUGGGGGACAACGUUUCGAAAGGAACGCUAAUACCGCAUACGCCCUACGGGGGAAAGGGGGGGAUCUUCGGACCUCUCGCUAUCAGAUGAGCCCAUGUCAGAUUAGCUUGUUGGUGAGGUAAAGGCUCACCAAGGCGACGAUCUGUAACUGGUCUGAGAGGAUGAUCAGUCACACUGGAACUGAGACACGGUCCAGACUCCUACGGGAGGCAGCAGUGGGGAAUAUUGGACAAUGGGGGCAACCCUGAUCCAGCCAUGCCGCGUGUGUGAAGAAGGCCUUCGGGUUGUAAAGCACUUUCAGUGGGGAGAAAGGUCAUUCACCUAAUACGUGAGUGAAUUGAUGUUACCCACAGAAGAAGCACCGGCUAACUCCGUGCCAGCCGCCGCAGUAA
rnacentral:rRNA from 1 species